rnacentral:lncRNA from 1 species
CAAAUAUGUUGGCAAAGGUGAUUUCCAAGGAGAAGCUUGAGCAUUGUGUCGAGCUCACUAGGAUGGACAACUCCACGUGAGAGUCGGGUGGUCAAUCUCUGCCUACAUGGGCUGGAGGUGGAGAUUGUUCCGUUUGGGCUUCGAUCUAGUGGAUGCCCAUUUUCAUUAAGCCCAUUAGGGGUGUCUUUUGCUUUUUUUUUACUCUAGCCACAUGGUUGGCGGCACAAAAAGGUGAGUGACGGGCAGAAAAAAAAGUAGAAGAAGGAGGU